GACGAACGCUGGCGGCGUGCUUAACACAUGCAAGUCGAACGGAAAGGCCCUGCUUUUGUCGGGUGCUCGCGUGGCGACCGUGUGAAUAACACGUGAGUAUCCUGCCCUUUACUUUGGGAUAACUUCAGGAAACUGGGGCUAAUACCUGAUAGGAGCUCCUGCUGCAUGGUGGGGGUUGGAACGUUUCGGCGGUUGGGGAUGGACUCGCGGCUUAUCAGCUUGUUGGUGGGGUAGUGGCUUACCAAGGCUUUGACGGCUAGCCGGCCUGAGAGGGUGAACGGCCACAUGGGGACUGAGAUAGGGCACAGACGGCUACGGGAGGCAGCAGUGGGGAAUAUUGCACAAUGGGCGGAAGCCUGAUGAAGCAGCGCGGCGUGCGGGAUGACGGCCUUCGGGUUGUAAACCGCUUUCGCCUGUGACGAAGCGUGAGUGACGGUAAUGGGUAAAGAAGCACCGGCUAACUACGUG
rnacentral:rRNA from 1 species